rnacentral:lncRNA from 1 species
AAUUAGAAGGCCAAUAUUUAUCAGCCCAACCCCAGGCAAUGGGGACAGGAUCAGCGUGCUGCCCUACGAGGACGUUUCCUUCACAGUGAUGGCUGUCAGCGCAAAAGAAAGGAUGGCGGACUUGCAGAUUCUGGGUCCUUACGGGCUACACACAUUGGGUCUGUGGAUGGCAGAUGAUCUCUGCACUGUCUCUGUGAAUAUCACCUGGGAGAGCAGGAACCCUGCAAGAUCGCACCAGGUUCCUGUAUGUUUUGUGGCCAGCACAUUAUCCGGGUUACAGUCUGAGCUCAGAUGCAUUUGGAUUGUGCAGAGGGUGUUUGUAACUUGUGACGUGAAGCUGUGCCUCAGCUUGAACAGGUCCAGGCUAUGCCCUUCAGGGUGCAGGUCCUUCAAAAGCAACGAUUCGCCAUGGAAGAUACUAGAAACAAAGAUCCAUCGGAUCACCGCUGGGCCAAUCCAGAUCACCAAGGCUCCUUCCAGCGGUACCAACUACACUGCCUUAGUGGUUGGGAUAGUGCUGGGCUGCACAGUGGUGUGUGUUGUCUUUCUGCUGUUGAAGAAGUCCUUUGUGGGGGUGCCAUACAGGAAUGUAUCCCUAAGAAUUUGAGACUAUCACUGCAAAGGGCAUUUAAGGAAGUCAGAUGGCUGGGAAGAUUACUGCACUUGAACUUGAAGGACACAACUGAAAAUUCCGAGAGAGCAACAUCAACAUUUGUGGGAAUCAGAUGCUGAGCAGAUUGCUUAUGGCAACAUUUCUGAGUUUGGUACAGGUUCCCCUGGUGGCACGAAGCCCACAAUCAAGUGGUGGAUGGGUGGUUUAAAUUCUAGAAUCCCCUAUGACACCGAUUAAAAAAAAGAAUAUGGAAAACACCACAUACUUGUGACUUUUAGAUGUGAUUUGCUUAAGGACUUGUCUUCACUGCAACAGAUAGCU